rnacentral:rRNA from 1 species
CAGCAGCCACGGUAAUACGAAGGGUGCAAGCGUUAAUCGGAAUUACUGGGCGUAAAGCGUGCGUAGGCGGUGAGUUAAGUCUGCUGUGAAAUCCCCGGGCUCAACCUGGGAAUGGCAGUGGAUACUGGCUCGCUAGAGUGUGUCAGAGGAUGGUGGAAUUCCCGGUGUAGCGGUGAAAUGCGUGGAGAUCGGGAGGAACAUCAGUGGCGAAGGCGGCCAUCUGGGGCAACACUGACGCUGAGGCACGAAAGCGUGGGGAGCAAACAGGAUUAGAUACCCGCGUAGUCCCUGUCUCUUAUAC